AUCCUGGGAGGCUGGAGAGACGGCUCAGCAACUAAAAGCCUGUGCUGCUCUUGGAGAGGACCUGAGAUUGGUAUCUAGCACCCACAUCGACCAUCGGCUGCUGGUCAGACCUUUCUGACUAAGGACGGAUUACGUGAUUAAGGCGGCACCAUUUGUCGGCAGUGUGGCUUUAGACUUCACCUCAACUGCGAAGGAGCAUUUCGAUUCUGUGUUUCUAAACAUUAUCGCUAGAAUGUAGGGAAGUGGAGAUCUCCACAGCCAUAUUUAACCAAAGCAAUACAGUCCUCAUUCUUUCUGCUACGAUGAAGCAUGGCAGGGCUACACACUCCUGGAGGAGCAGUGUCAUGCUGGAAGUACUAGAGAAUAAAAGCCUUUGGAAAUGA